rnacentral:rRNA from 1 species
GAUGAACGCUGGCGGCGUGCCUAAUACAUGCAAGUCGAACGCAUAGCGAAAGGUGCUUGCACCUUUCAAGUGAGUGGCGAACGGGUGAGUAACACGUGGACAACCUGCCUCAAGGCUGGGGAUAACAUUUGGAAACAGAUGCUAAUACCGAAUAAAACUUAGUGUCGCAUGACACAAAGUUAAAAGGCGCUUCGGCGUCACCUAGAGAUGGAUCCGCGGUGCAUUAGUUAGUUGGUGGGGUAAAGGCCUACCAAGACAAUGAUGCAUAGCCGAGUUGAGAGACUGAUCGGCCACAUUGGAACUGAGACACGGCCCAGACUCCUACGGGAGGCUGCAGUAGGGAAUCUUCCACAAUGGGCGAAAGCCUGAUGGAGCAACGCCGCGUGUGUGAUGAAGGCUUUCGGGUCGUAAAGCACUGUUGUAUGGGAAGAACAGCUAGAAUAGGAAAUGAUUUUAGUUUGACGGUACCAUACCAGAAAGGGACGGCUAAAUACGUG